CCUACGGGAGACAGCAGUGGGGAAUAUUGCACAAUGGGGGAAACCCUGAUGCAGCGACGCCGCGUGCGUGAAGAAGUCCUUCUUUAUGUAAAGCUCUAUCAGCAGGGGAGAAAAUUACGGUACCUGUGUAAUCAUCCCCGGCUAACUACGUUCCAGCAGCCGCGGUAAUACGUAGGGGGCAAGCGUUAUCCGGAUUUACUGGGUGUAAAGGGAGCGUAGACGGCAGUGCAAGUCUGGAGUGAAAGGCGGGGGCUCAACCCCCGGACUGCUCUGGAAACUGUACGGCUGGAGUGCAGGAGAGGUAAGUGGAAUUCCUGGUGUAGCGGUGAAAUGCGUAGAUAUUAGGAGGAACACCAGUGGCGAAGGCGGCAUACGGGAGUGUAACUGACGUUGAGGCUCGAAGGCGUGGGGAGCGAACAGGAUUAGAUACCCCUGUAGUC
rnacentral:rRNA from 1 species